GAUGAACGCUAGCGGCAGGCCUAACACAUGCAAGUCGAGGGGGAAGUUACUUUCGGGUGACUGAGACCGGCGUAUGGGUGCGUAACGCGUAUACAAUCUGCCUUUCACUGGGGGAUAGCCCGAAGAAAUUUGGAUUAAUACCCCAUAGUAUAUAGGGACGGCAUCGUUUUUAUAUUAAAGCUUAGGUGGUGAAAGAUGAGUAUGCGUUCUAUUAGCUAGUUGGUGAGGUAACGGCUCCCCAAGGCGAUGAUAGAUAGGGGUUCUGAGAGGGAUGUCCCCCACACUGGUACUGAGAUACGGACCAGACUCCUACGGGAGGCAGCAGUUAGGAAUAUUGGACAAUGGUCGGAAGACUGAUCCAGCCAUGCCGCGUGCAGGAUGAAGGUCUUAUGGAUUGUAAACUGCUUUUGUAAGGGAAGAAUAAGGGCUACGCGUAGUUUGAUGACGGUACCUUACGAAUAAGCAUCGGCUAACUCCGUG
rnacentral:rRNA from 1 species